rnacentral:tRNA from 5 species
UGGGGUAUAGCCAAGUGGUAAGGCACCGGUUUUUGGUAUCGGCAUUCGCAGGUUCGAGUCCUGCUACCCCAG